ACCGGGCCUCGUAAACUCUGAGACGUGAUACCGAGCCGCUUCAGGCGAAGUCAUUGAUCCUAUGCUGCCUAGAAAAGCCCAGCAGCGAGUUGACAUGGUGCCCGUACCCCAAACCAACACAGGUGGACAGGUAGAGCAUACCAAGGCGAGUGGGCUAACUAUGGUUAAGGAACUCGGCAAAUUGCCUCCGUAACUUCGGGAGAAGGAGGACCCCGGUAGCGUGAUGAGACUUGCUCUCUGAGCGUGAAGGGGUGGCACAAAAUUGAGGGAAGCGACUGUUUACCAAAAACACAGCAGCGUGCUAAGCCGUAAGGCGCUGUAUACGCUGUGACUCCUGCCCGGUGCUGGAAGGUUACGGGGAUGAGUUAGUCCUUCGGGACGAAGCUCUGAACCUAAGCCCCAGUAAACGGCGGCCGUAACUAUAACGGUCCUAAGGUAGCGAAAUUCCUUGUCGGGUAAGUUCCGACCUGCACGAAUGGAGUAACGACUUCCCUACUGUCUCAACCAUAGACCCAGCGAAAUUGAAGUACGAGUAAAGAUGCUCGUUAGCUGCAGAAGGACGGAAAGACCCCGUGGACCUUUACUAUAACUUGAUGUUGUGUUUUGUCAUAUGUUGUGUAGGAUAGGUGGGAGACUGGGAAGCAUGGACGCUAGUCUGUGUGGAGUCAUCGUUGAAAUACCACCCUGCAUAUGGUGAGGCUCUAACCUAGACCCGUUAUCCGGGUUGGGGACAGCGUCAGGCGGGUAGUUUAACUGGGGCGGUUGCCUCCUAAAGAGUAACGGAGGCGCCCAAAGGUUCCCUCAGCCUGGUUGGCAAUCAGGCGUUGAGUGCAAUGGCAAAAGGGAGCUUGACUGCGAGACCUACAAGUCGAGCAGGAGCGAAAGCUGGGCAUAGUGAUCCGGCGGUUGCGUGUGGAAGCGCCGUCGCUCAACGGAUAAAAGGUACCCCGGGGAUAACAGGCUAAUCUUGCCCAAGCGUCCAUAGCGACGGCAAGGUUUGGCACCUCGAUGUCGGCUCAUCGCAUCCUGGGGCUGAAGCAGGUCCCAAGGGUUGGGCUGUUCGCCCAUUAAAGCGGUACGCGAGCUGGGUUCAGAACGUCGUGAGACAGUUCGGUCCCUAUCCUCUGCAGCCGGAGGUGAAUUGAGGAAAGCUGUCCCUAGUACGAGAGGACCGGGACGGACGCAGCUCUCGUGUGCCAGUUGUCCUGCCAAGGGCAUGGCUGGUUAGCGACCUGCGGAAAGGAUAACCGCUGAAAGCAUCUAAGCGGGAAGCCUCUUCCAAGAUGAAUUCACCCACAGGGUUAACCUGGUAAGGCCCGUGGUAGACCACCACGUUGAUAGGCCGGAAGUGUAAGCGUGGCAACACGUUCAGCUGACCGGUACUGAUCGGCCGAGGGCUUGAGUCC
rnacentral:rRNA from 1 species